UUGCAUAGCUCAGUCACUAGAGCAUGAGACUCUCAAUUUCUGGGUUAUGGGUUGAAGCCCCACAUUGGGCAAA